rnacentral:lncRNA from 1 species
GGAGGGAGUUUCUCUCCUCUUUUUUUCACAAUCUGUUUUUUGUUGGUGUAUGUGCUAAUCAAUUUUUUUGGUUUGGGAAGCCUUUAUAGUUUAUGGUUUCUAAUGGUAAGUGAUCCUUAACUCUGCUUUGUAUUGCUGUUUGUUUAAACUAUGAAGGUCUUCUGUAUAAGGGUUGAGACACCCCUUAAGUGUAUCUUUUUAUUCUAUUAAUUU